CUCAAUAUGUUGCAAUUAUAACACUUUUUUCUCAGAUAUUCUAUAAAAUUAUAAGCAUUUAAUAUUAUAAAUAUAGUGAAAUGAAGAGCCAGAAUGCUCUUCUUUAUGUAAAGGGGUACAUGAGGGGAGAAUAAGACCAGGGGGAAAAGGGGUCACGGCCCUUGUGAAGAACAAAAGAGAAACAUGAUGUUAAUUUUCUCAGUAUAUAGCCAUUAAAUUGAGGCAUCGAACUUCUUCACCAAAAGAUUUGGGGAGAUUCAGCUUCAUUUGCGGUAGGAGAUGAGGAAAAGGCAGAUGGUGCGGAUUCAGGUGAUGACGAUGAUGGAAAUUGUGUUGGCGAACUCGAGAUUGAAGAAUCUGGGAUUGGAGAAGGAGAGGGUUCUUGAGCCUCUACAAAGAAUAAGAGAAGACAAGAGAAGACAAGGAGAAUUAUGAAUUUCUUGAACUCCAUCUUCUUAAUUAAUUCUUUUUAGUCUUGUUUCUUCUGAUUUUAGUUUUGAAAUCUUUUUGAGAAGAGAGAUAAAGAAAAGUGCAUACUGGGAUAAUUGGAAUUUGUAUAAAUAAUGGAGUCUUGGAGAGAUUAAUGGUUGUAAGGGAAGGAAGAUUGAUGGUUACGAGGAAGAAUAGGUUUUCCAUGAAAACAAUGCCCUUCUCUAUUUUUGCUGCAAAAUACAUCUACAAUGUAUAUGCGUACUAAGAUGUUUUUGCUUUGUUAUAUG
rnacentral:lncRNA from 1 species